rfam:Myotis lucifugus cont2.29374, whole genome shotgun sequence.
GGCAGUUCUUGGGUGAUGCACCCAGGAAUUGGGCUCCCUCCUCUCUGGUUCCGGGGUGCAUCACCCGAGAAUCGCA